rnacentral:rRNA from 1 species
GACGAACGCUGGCGGCGUGCUUAACACAUGCAAGUCGAACGAAGAGCGACGGAAGCUUGCUUCUAUCAAUCUUAGUGGCGAACGGGUGAGUAACGCGUAAUCAACCCGCCCUUCAGAGGGGGACAACAGUUGGAAACGACUGCUAAUACCGCAUACGAUCUAACCUCGGCAUCGAGGAUAGAUGAAAGGUGGCCUCUACAUGUAAGCUAUCACUGAAGGAGGGGAUUGCGUCUGAUUAGCUAGUUGGAGGGGUAACGGCCCACCAAGGCGAUGAUCAGUAGCCGGUCUGAGAGGAUGAACGGCCACAUUGGGACUGAGACACGGCCCAGACUCCUACGGGAGGCAGCAGUGGGGAAUCUUCCGCAAUGGACGAAAGUCUGACGGAGCAACGCCGCGUGAGUGAUGACGGCCUUCGGGUUGUAAAGCUCUGUUAAUCGGGACGAAAGGCCUUCUUGCGAAUAGUGAGAAGGAUUGACGGUACCGGAAGAGAAAGCCACGGCUAACUACGUG